GUCGUUACACCAAUAGAAAGUCAGCGCCGUUUCCUGUUACACUAUUCAGAGUUACACUAUUUAGAGCUCAAAGGCUAAUAGGUGCUAAAAGUUCAAAAUAAUCUCUAUAAUUUCCUUCUAAGACAUGUGUGCGGUCAUUAAGUUCUCACGUUGGUUUUGUGAUAAAUCCAUCAGUAAAACACAAGAACUUGCUGUCUGAUCGUUGGACACAUCCGAGGGAGUUACACCACCCAGAGACAGCCGGGAUAGGCUCCAGCCUGCAUAGAAGACGGACAGAUGGAGUUGAGUAGGGCGCUGGCUGCUGAUUUCAACUUUUCAGUCUUCGCCGGAUCGUGCGACACACCUUGUUGUCCGAUUGGGAAUUGGUCCCCGAUGCAAGUUGAGCCCAUGUUUUACUCUUUAGGUGCUGAAGUUGUCGUUUAUGACGUCAAGGUAUAUAAAACUGUGGUCAGACCAGCCAUGUUGUUUGGUCUAGUGACAGUGCCACUGAGGAAAAAGACAGGAACUGGAUGUAGCAGAUAUGAGGAUGCUGGGGUUCUCAUUGAGAGUGACCAGGAUGGAUAGGAUCAGGAAGGACUACAUUACAGGCCAGACUGAGAUGGUUGGGACAUGUCCAGAGGAGAUAUAGUGAUAGAAGGAUGCUGCCAGGUAGGAGGCGUAGAGGAAGACCACAGAGGAGGUUUAUGGAUGCAGUGAAGGAGGACAUAAGGGUAGUUGGUGUGAGAGAGACGGAUGCAGAAGACAGGGUUGGAUGGAGGAGAUUGAUUUGCCGUGGCGACCCCAGAAGGGAAAAGCCCAAAGAAUGGUAAUGGUUUAAUUUCAAUUGAACAUGCAUCAGAUUACAAUUGAGUACAUCCCAUAAUCAGUUCAGAGUUCCACAUGUCCAAAAGGAGUAGGAAGAAGCAAAGCUUAUUAAAUCCUACCCCUCCAUCUGGUACUUUUACAAUCAGUAACUGUUACAUUUGUUCACUUCCUGCUUUCCUAAUAUAUUUUAAUUUUAAUUUUAAUUUUAAUUUUAAUUUUAAUUUUAAUUUUAAUUUUAAUUUUAAUUUUAAUUUUAAUUUUAAUUUUAAUUUUAAUUUUAAUUUUAAUUACGUACCAAAGUACGAGGUGAUAUGCCAUCCAACGACAUAAUGGGUACCAUAGUAAGUGUCAAUAUUGAAGAGGUCUUUAUUUGCAAUAAAUGUCAAUGCACACAACAUUGUGGAGUGGCCACAUAAGUACCAUUCAUUCUAUCUUUAAUGCCAUUGUUGAGGAGGUGUUUAUUUACAAUAAACGUUAAUGCACACAACAUUAUGGAGUGGCCACCUACCGGUCAUUCUAUCCUUAAUGCCGAUGGUGUAGGAGGUGUUUAUUUUCAAUAAAUGUCAAUGCACACAACAUUGUGGAGUGGCCACCUACCGGUCAUUCUAUCUUUAAUACCGCUGGGGAGGAGGUGUUUAUUUACACUAAACGUAAAUGCACACAACAUUGUGGAGUGGCCACAUAAGUACCUGUCAUUCUAUCUUUAAUGCAUAACAUUGUGGAGUGGCCACCUAACGGUCAUUCUAUCCUUAAUGCCGCUGGUGAGGAAGUGUUUAUUUACAAUAAACGUUAAUGCACACAACAUUGUGGCGUGGCCACAUAAGUACCUGUCAUUCUAUCUCCAAUGCCACUGAUGCGGAGGUGUUUAUUGACAAUAAACUUCAAUGCACACAACAUUGUGGAGUGGCCACAUAAGUACCUGUCAUUCUAUCUUUAAUGCCGCUGGUGAGGAGGUGUUUAUUUACAAUAAACGUCAAUGCACACAACAUUGUGGAGUGACCGCCUUUUUGAGUUUGAGGACAGUAUGAAUUACAUGUUUACUUUGACAAACUCUCCUGUCAUAAAUAAAUAUUGAACUGUGAAGAUGUUUAGAAGCAACAGCGUUUACAAGCUAAGACACACUUCCUGCUGGCAGAAUGUACUCAUGAAGAAUUCACAACAUUUCAUGGAUGAUGAUAGUAAGCGCGAUACUUCAUGCGCAGGUAGCGUGUGUAUUUGUGGUUCCUGCAUUUGCAGGUCAUUAGAGGCAACUUGCUGUGCUCUUAUUUGUGCAGUCACAGCAUGAGAGCCCAGCGUGGGAUUAAUACAUGGCCUGGCAUUUGACACCACAGUAUAAUCUCCAUUUUUUUUUUUUUUGCCGUGCUGAAGCAAGUCAGGGUGAGUUUUGAAAUGUGAAAUAAAAUAUGUUUCAAAGGAAGUGUACAGUAAUCCCUCGCCACUUUGCGCAUUGAAUUUUAUAUUUUUCAAAACUAUAUUUCAAUAUUUAUAUUUUUCAAAACUAUAUGUUUUGACUAAAUCAUGCUGUUUCAUGGUUGAACAUGGCCUAUUAUUAGUCAAAAAUAUGAAUACUUAUGUAGUACGCUACACUGGCCACUAGGUGCUGUAAUGUUCGAUGAAACACACACCAGACUUGAUUACCGAAACAACAGGCUUAUUUUCACUUAUGUCCACUGUUUUAGUUAAAAGGAGUGUAAAAGUGACAAUAGGGGUGUUAUAUCAUAACCAGGGGUCCCUAAUAAUUUCAAAAAAUACAUCCAUCCAUUGAGCAAGAGGCGAGGUACACCUUUGACUGGUCGCUGAAAACAUUCGAUUUACUAUUAUUGUGGAUUAUUUCAAAAUUUUAUGAUGGCAACAGUUCAGCGUUGACUUCACUAAAGUUCUUCUUCUUUUCUAGUAAUAACUAUAAAAGCAAUCUUCACUGGCUAAAUGUUAAGGAUAAUUCAUAAUGCCGCCUACAGAGAAUACAUACUAACUCCUUAUUUCUAAAAUUUCAAAAAUCACAAAUACUUCAACUUGCUGAUAUAGUUCAUCUUCAAACAGCUAAAAUAAUGCA